AUGGAGUCUGUGCUCAGCUGGGUUUUCCUUGUCACUAUUUUAAAAGGUGUCCAGGGUGAGGUGCAGCUGGUGGAGUCUGGGGGAGACCUGGUGAAGCCUGGGGGUUCCCUGAGACUCUCAUGUGUGACUUCUGGAUUCACUUUCAGUAGCUAUUGGAUGAGCUGUGUCCGCCAGGCUCCAGGGAAGGAGCUGCAGUGGGUCGCGUACAUUAACAGUGGUGGAAGUAGCACAUGGUACACAGACGCUGUGAAGGGUCGAUUCACCAUCUCCAGAGACAACGCCAAGAACACGCUGUAUCUGCAGAUGAACAACCUGAGAGCCGAAGACACGGCCGUGUAUUACUGUGCGAGGGACACAAGGAACACCAUGGUUCCUCCCAGUUUAAUUAUUGUGGACAUUGCUGCUGGGAACAUUGGGGUGCAGGUGACCCUUCGUUUAAUAACAUCUGUGUCUCUGAAGCUAAUACCCAGAAUAGCAAUGGCUGGGUCAUAG